UUCGANUAGAGUUUGAUCCUGGNUCAGGAUGAACGCUAGCGACAGGCUUAACACAUGCAANUCGAGGGGCAGCGGGGGUAGCAAUACCCGCCGGCGACCGGCGCACGGGUGAGUAACGCGUAUGCAACUUACCUAUCAGAGGGGGAUAACCCGGCGAAAGUCGGACUAAUACCGCAUGAAGCAGGGGCCCCGCAUGGGGAUAUUUGCUAAAGAUUCAUCGCUGAUAGAUAGGCAUGCGUUCCAUUAGGCAGUNGGCGGGGUAACGGCCCACCAAACCGACGAUGGAUAGGGGUUCUGAGAGGAAGGUCCCCCACAUUGGUACUGAGACACGGACCAAACUCCUACGGGAGGCAGCAGUGAGGAAUAUUGGUCAAUGGGCGUAAGCCUGAACCAGCCAAGUCGCGUGAGGAAUGAAGGUUCUAUGGAUCGUAAACCUCUUUUAUAAGGGAAUAAAGUGUGGGACGUGUCCUAUUUUGUAUGUACCUUAUGAAUAAGGAUCGGCUAACUCCGUGCCAGCAGCCGCGGUAAUACGGAGGAUCCGAGCGUUAUCCGGAUUUAUUGGGUUUAAAGGGUGCGUAGGCGGCCUUUUAAGUCAGCGGUGAAAGUCUGUGGCUCAACCAUAGAAUUGCCGUUGAAACUGGGGGGCUUGAGUAUGUUUGAGGCAGGCGGAAUGCGUGGUGUAGCGGUGAAAUGCUUAGAUAUCACGCAGAACCCCGAUUGCGAAGGCAGCCUGCCAAGCCAUUACUGACGCUGAUGCACGAAAGCGUGGGGAUCAAACAGGAUUAGAUACCCUGGUAGUCCACGCAGUAAACGAUGAUCACUAGCUGUUUGCGAUACACUGUAAGCGGCACAGCGAAAGCGUUAAGUGAUCCACCUGGGGAGUACGCCGGCAACGGUGAAACUCAAAGGAAUUGACGGGGGCCCGCACAAGCGGAGGAACAUGUGGUUUAAUUCAAUCACUAGUGAAUUCGCGGCCGCCUGCAGGUCGACCAUANGGGAGAGCUCCCAACGC
rnacentral:rRNA from 1 species